rnacentral:rRNA from 1 species
UACGUAGGUGGCAAGCGUUGUCCGGAUUUAUUGGGUUUAAAGGGUGCGUAGGCGGCCCUGUAAGUCAGUGGUGAAAUACUCUAGCUUAACUAGAGGGGUGCCAAUGAUACUGCAGGGCUUGAGUACAGAUGAGGUAGGCGGAAUUGACGGUGUAGCGGUGAAAUGCAUAGAUAUCGUCAAGAACACCUAUAGCGAAGGCAGCUUACUGGGCUGUAACUGACGCUGAGGCACGAAAGCGUGGGGAGCAAAAGGG